rnacentral:rRNA from 1 species
GACAGAGGGGGCAAGCGUUGCUCGGAAUUACUGGGCGUAAAGCGUGCGCAGGCGGUUUUGUAAGCCAGAUGUGAAAUCCCCGGGCUUAACCUGGGAAUGGCGUUUGGGACUGGGAGUCUGGAGUGCGGCAGAGGAGACUGGAAUUCCUGGUGUAGCAGUGAAAUGCGUAGAUAUCAGGAGGAACACCGAUGGCGAAGGCAGGUCUCUGGGCUGACACUGACGCUCAUGCACGAAAGCGUGGGGAGCAAACAGG